AAUGAGAAAUUCAAUUCUGUUGUGAACAAUUGCCAAGUGGUUUGGAGGUUUGUCCAUGAUGUUUUGAGAAUGUAAUUUUUGUUUCAAGAAAUGAGCCAAACCAAUGGAGAAACUGUAAUCUCCUGGAACACUUCCACAAAACAUGACUCUUUUUCACAUCAUCUGUGCUUUUUUUAAUUUAUUUUUUAAAAUUUUACUAUGCCAGAUAUUGUGCCACACAUUUGAAUUUCUGAUUCACAAAACACUGGUGCUAUUCUAGCAGUAUUUACUAUAUCAUAGCUUUAUUUCUUUUAACACUGGUGAUCAUUUUUAAUUAUGUUAGACUACCACUCAUGGACUAAUGCAGGGAAAACAGCUGUCUGCACUGUAAACUAACUGUUGGCUAACGGUAGACUACCCCUGUUAAAAUCCAUUAUUUUUAUCCCCUGAAUAGUGUCAUUAUCCUAACAACACAGAACAAACUGUCUCUCACACAACCCAGUAUCCCUCUGUAGCCAAAAUCAGUAUUAGUUUUCCACCACUGUCCCCGGGCAUGUUCUGCCUCUCUGGCUCCAUAAUCCAACAUAUUCUAAGAUCCUUAACCCAGCAGCAAGCUUUGUUUUUGGGCUUUAGUCCAGCUCUGCUCUUGGGAGGUCCAACAGCUCCUCCAAACCCCCUCUAGUAAUUUUUUUGGCGUGAAGGAUUUUUAUUUUCAAUCACGCUGUCCCAAUCCCCUGGACAAUUAGAGGUCGUCACAGAGCAGUUUAUAGAAAGUGCGGAGCAACAGAAUGUUGUUUUGGAAAGUUGCAGUGGUCCCUUGUGUGAGUGAAAAGGCUUGGAAAAGCUACAUUAAAAGAAUAAAUAACUUGUACAACACAGAACCAGAAAUAGGUUGCUUAUCUUCUAAUAAUUUUUACUUACCGGAAAAUCAUGUUUAUCCAAAUCCAUCAGGAAUCGAGGUUGUCCAAGAUUAAAUGUUCUGCAUAGACAUUCAUUGAAAUUCCUCACCAGAUUAUUUAAGAUCCAAAAUUUGAAUUAAACAUAUUUCUUCCGAUUGCUCACGCUCAUUACGUCCACUCCAUCCACAAGUGACAUCAAAUAUCUGAGCCUUUGACACACAUAGGUUGUACAGUAUCUCACAAUCUUUACCACCUGUUGCAUUAAUGCUUGCAAUGCAGAAUGUUUGUUGAGAAAUGAGCACACUUUAGGCAUUUUCUGUCCUCCCAUCUUUGAACACGAUCUAUAUGUCUAUUUGAGACAACACAGUACGUACUGCAUUGAAGAUACAUGGCAACUGGUAUAACCAAUUCCUCACAUUUUUACUGUAUGAGAAAAUGUGGCCUACGUUUUUAUACUGAAUGUUUGUUUAAGACUAGCAAAUCAAGAGACACACCAUUAGUCUGACAUUAUCGUAUUAAAAUCAGAUAAUGUUGCUUAGCAGCCAUUCACCAAAGCUAUUAAGCACUCGGCUUUGAGGUUUAAAAUAACCAUAGUGCACUUGUUAACCUUUCAUCUGCACAUGACUGCUGCAACUAAACUAAACAGUGCUCUCUCUGUCUCUCUCUGUCUCUCUCUCUCUCUCUCUCUCAGUCAUUAUCUUGUCAGCAUGAGGUCAUCGUCUGAUCCUAGCCCAAUGAUGUCAUUUCCUUCAUAAACAAGUCCAACUUCCUCUCAAGGGUCCAUAUCAGCUGAGCUUAUCCUGGAGUGUGGGAGUGGUGAGGUCUGGGAGAUCACGACCUUAAUUCUCUCCAAGACAGACGGUUUAAUUAACACUGGAGGAAUCCUCACUGGCUCCAGACCUCUACAGUGGGAAAGUACAGGGGAACUGGAUUGUCAAGGUGUGGUAGUCAGAGUAAGAGGGGAAGAUCAACUUGUCUAGACAUGACUGUGAGGAUCUGCAAAGAAACCUGUGUGAAAACAGUAAAGGAAAAUGAAGAUCAAGAGGAAAACAGCUAGAUGGAGAGAAAACAUCAGAGCAGGGAGGGGAGAUCAAUUUAAUUUAGUUAAAUUAUGUAUAUUUGUCGCAUAAAAGGUAACAUGUUUGUCAUCUCUGUUGUCAUAUGAGUUUGGGAUAUGCAAUGUUAGAAAAACAUUAUGCAUUGAUGUUAUUUUGUACGUGUUGUAUAGUGAAAAUCCUAACAAGUAUUGCCGGCAAGUUUUGUUUAUGUUGUUUUAAAAAACAAUCCGAGGAAGUGUUGUCAUAUUUCAGUGGUUCUCAAUGGGGUCAAGGGAUCCUUCAGCGGGUUCCAGGAGGUCCCCAGCAAAAAAGGGGAAUCAUUUAUUUUCAAAAUAAUUCCAUAAUAUAAGUUACACAAUGACAGAAUGUAUGGCUGUUUUAGUCACGGGUUUCAUGCAGUUUCUGUAAUUUAACAUCUAAAAGCAAAAAUCCUAUCAGAUGGGGGACCCUGGGACAAAAUCAGAUGGGGGUCAUUGAUGGAAUUUGUGUCAGUUUAAACAUUCCUGAUGUGAAAACGUUUGAGAACCACUGUUACGUAGGUGCUAUUCUCUUUUUGUUCCACAAUACUCUAAAUGCAUUUUUUAAAGCACGUAACUUUGUAGAUUUGAGAGUAAAUGUGGUCAGAAAGACAGUUUUGACAAUCCUUGUGUCUGGUGCAAUAACAUGUUCAUGUAUGUGCACUGUAUCUGUUAAGAAGCAAUGAUCCCAGUAUGGUCACAGGGGAACAAAGGGACAUGUACUCAUACAAUAUGUAAGGGUAUGUGGAGAAAUAUUCCCUGACUAUAGUGCUCUCAUGUGACAAUAUAUGUACAGUGUUUCACUUUUAUCAUCUCAACAUAGAUUAUUAAUGAAUAUUGUACUGUCCUAUGAAACAUCUAGAUAAUAUAAUGUUGAAAAAAAGAAUGUUAAUAGUUACUCUAAAGAAAACUAUACUUGUCUAAUGAGAAUCUAGCAGUGCAGCAGUUGUGCAUUGUGCAGCGUACCUCUUCCUUUGCAACAUCAAGAGAAGGAGACAAUUGCUUUCUCUUCCACUUCUGUGCUGUAAAGCACUGUAAGUAGCUUAGAGCUGUGUUGCUUGCUGCAGGGUGCAGUGGUACGAUGGUGGUACCUUACUUCUACCCACCAUGUCUGACUUUGGCUCUUAAAAAAACAUUGCAUCAUAGAUACAAUGGUGUUUUAAAUUCUAAAGUAAAUGGCUUUUCAAGCCUCCUUUAGACAAAAUGUUUGUGGUUACAUCCUUUAUCUUUACAAGUUCAGUUUGACAUGUAAUGAUAGAAACCACCUUUCAACCAUAAUGAUAGGUGUACUUUACCUACCAUCUAAGUCAUAUACAAUUAUGUGGUUUUCUUUUUACUUUACAGUCGACACGGACUUUCUUCUUCCUCUAAAAAUUCCAUCCAUCCAUCCAUCCAUUGUCAACCGCUUAUCCUGCGCACAGGGUCGCAGGGGGCUAGAGCCAAUCCCAUCUUACAUUGGGCGAAAGGCGGGUAACACCCUAGACAGGUCGCCAGUCCAUCACAGGGCCACAGACAGACAAACAACCACUCACAUCCACACCUAAGGUCAAUUUUGGAGACACUAAAAGCAUGCUGCAUGUCUUUGUAUGGUGGGAGCAAACCAGAUGCACCUGGAGAGAACCCACGCAGACAUGGGGAGAACAUGCAAACUCCACACAGAAAGGCUGGGGCAACCUGGGUUUGAACCCAUGACCUUCUUGCUGUGCGGCAAUAGUGCUAACCACUGCAACACCACACCGCCCACUCUAGAUAUUGUUAUAUUUUAAUUAAUGACCUGACAUAGGCUAACAAAAACCAUGCUAAGAGGCUACAGCUACACUAGUGGCUCUGUAGCGUUAGGCAUGCUUUGAAGACGUUUUUGAGCUAAAUGCUAACAUCAGCAAGCUAACAUAUUUUCACUGGCAAUACUAAAAUGCUAAUGUUAUCCAGCCAUCAACUGUCGAGACACUUCACUAUAACCCUAAAAUAUAAAUAUGUGGCAGAAGUGGAAAAGUCUGGGGUUUACCAAGGUCACUAGGUGAAUGUUUUGAAUGUUUUAACCAGUCAUUCAUGUGAGAUUUUCUUUCUGUAAAUAAGAUAACAUAUUUUCAGCAAGUGUUGAAAAUCUAAAAUAACAGAGCUGGGUUAGCCCUAUUACACCCCUCAAUGAACAGUUUUGAGGCCUCCCUAUCUGCCUCCCUCCAUCUUUGUCUGUGGUUACUAACCCCAGCUACAGUGGUCAGAAAUGGGCCCCCGAUGUUUUCCAUGGACAGUUUAUCACACUUCCUUCCAUACUUCUGGGCCCCCAGUCAGUCUGCCAGACAGGAAAAUCAAAGACUGUGGGACAUACCAUUACAGUGCAAAUGGUAUAUUGCACUGUACAACAUGUUGAUGAUAUAUAACCUUAAAGUCUCACAAGUAAAUACAGGAAUGAGGUCUGAGCUGAGUUUAGCUUUAAAUGUUUGAAUUGCACAUUGAAUUGAUUGAAAGUGAUUUAAAAUCAUCCUACACAUUGAAUGGUAUGGCAAAAUUAUUUAAUUUGAAUGUCUGUGAAUGUCAUUUUGUUGGAACUGUAUUGAGUUGAAUUUCAUUAAAGGUAUUUAAUAAAUAAUUUGGGAUUCA